GGGCCAUAGCUCAGUGGUAGAGCAUUUGUCUUGCAUGCAGAAGGUCUUAGGUUCAAUCCCCAGCAUGUCCG